GGCCUCGCACGCCGGAAUCGCCGGGCACGCUGGGAAGGGUCAGGCUCCGGCGGGAAGGCGGAGCCGUUGGGGAGCUUGAGGGGAAGCGUGGUCUCUCCCGGAAAAACCACUUCCACCGAGAACGCUGAGCGAGAGCCAGCACCUGGAUGGAGCACCUAAGGGAAGUGUUCAGAAAGACAUGUUUGUUGAGAGUUCUUACCGUGAAAAAAUAAAAAGAUUUGAUGACUUUUCUAAGAUAAUGAAUUCAGAAGCAUCUGGAGGUUUCAGUGUUUGGCCUCUGAAGGAGACCAGACACGUAUAGGGCUUUUUAUAAGUCCUCAAGCACGUAGGUUCUUUUUGUUAUUCCCAACUGGUUGCCUUGUAGAUUCCUGCUAAAACCCUUAAUGAAAAGGACUAUGCACUAUGGUUGUUCUAAAGAAAUAGAAGUAAUAGUAGGACUAGAGAAAGCUGCAUGGGACAGAGCACUGUCAGAAGACAGAAAGGUGAGUAUCCACUGCUGAGGAGCAGAUCUCUUAUCUAACAUACGAAAUGUCUUCAUUUGACAGACAGGAAGCUGAAAAAAAACUUUGGCAUUUUUAUUCAGACACGUAUAAAAACAAAACAAAAAACUUCAGUGAUACAACAGACGUUUUCUCUCAGUUCCCCAUCCAAGGGGACAGAGGUGUGCAGCUGAAGCUGGAUCUUCUUUCUGUCCUACCUGGAAGCUUCUCACUGCUGGAUGAGAAUGGCUUCUAAAAGUGGAUCUUGGGGAUCCUUGUGAAUUUGCCCUCGGAUAAGGAGUGAAGAUCAUUUACGGCACAUGUGGAUUAUGGUUUACACAAAGAUGUCCAGUUAUUUUUCCUUCUGACUACCCCCACCACCACUUCCUGAGAUGAGAUGUCUAGGUAUAGGAGGAUGUGGCUGUUGGGGUUAGACUUGAUUCAGUGCAAAAACAAGAAACAGUGCCCCUUAAACAAGGGCUGUAACUUAAAUCAGUUUUUCUUGGCACCUUACAAUAAGAGCACAUGCACAGGAAUUGGGAGGAUUUUGCAUCCUGGACCUACUGCUUAAUUUAUUUCAUCUCUUUAAGGCUCAGUUUUUGUUUUUUUUUUUCCCCUGUAGAGACGGUGUCUUGCUAUGUUUCCAUAGGCUUGUCUCUAAUCCUGGGCUCAAGUGAUCUUCCCAUCUCAGCCUCCCAAAGUGCUGGCUGGGAUUACAGGCAUGAGCCACUGCACCCAGUUCUAAAGUUUUUUUUUUUUUUUUUU